rnacentral:rRNA from 1 species
CACGUAGUUAGCCGGGGCUUCUUACUCAGGUACCGUCAUUUUCUUCCCUGCUGAUAGAGCUUUACGUAACGAAUUACUUCUUCGCUCACGCGGCGUCGCUGCAUCAGGGUUUCCCCCAUUGUGCAAUAUUCCCCACUGCUGCCUCCCGUAGGAGUCUGGGCCGUGUCUCAGUCCCAAUGUGGCCGUCCGCCCUCUCAGGCCGGCUACUGAUCGUCGCCUUGGUGGGCCGUUACCCCGCCAACAAGCUAAUCAGACGCGGGUCCAUCUUACACCACCGGAGUUUUUCACACCGCUUCAUGCGAAGCUGUGCGCUUAUGCGGUUUUAGCACCUAUUUCUAAGUGUUAUCCCCCUGUGUAAGGCAGGUUGCCCACGCGUUACUCACCCGUCCGCCACUAACCCAUAUAUCACCAGGUUUCAAUAUGGGUCCGUUCGACUUGCAUGUGUUAAGCACGCCGCCAGCGUUCAUCCUGAGCCAGGAUCAAACUCU